rnacentral:rRNA from 1 species
CAGGGAUUGCUCUAGUAACGGCGAGUGAAGCAGCAAUAGCUCAAAUUUGAAAUCUGGCGUCUUCGACGUCCGAGUUGUAAUUUGUAGAGGAUGCUUCUGAGUGGCCACCGACCUAAGUUCCUUGGAACAGGACGUCAUAGAGGGUGAGAAUCCCGUAUGCGGUCGGAAAGGCGCUCUAUACGUAGCUCCUUCGACGAGUCGAGUUGUUUGGGAAUGCAGCUCUAAAUGGGAGGUAAAUUUCUUCUAAAGCUAAAUAUUGGCCAGAGACCGAUAGCGCACAAGUAGAGUGAUCGAAAGAUGAAAAGCACUUUGGAAAGAGAGUUAAAAAGCACGUGAAAUUGUUAAAAGGGAAGGGAUUGCAACCAGACUUGCUCGCGGUGUUCCGCCGGUCUUCUGACCGGUCUACUCGCCGCGUUGCAGGCCAGCAUCGUCUGGUGCCGCUGGAUAAGACUUGAGGAAUGUAGCUCCCUCGGGAGUGUUAUAGCCUCUUGUGAUGCAGCGAGCGCCGGGCGAGGUCCGCGCUUCGGCUAGGAUGCUGGCGUAAUGGUCGUAAUCCGCCCGUCUUGAAACACGGACCAAGGAGUCUAACAUCUAUGCGAGUGUUCGGGUGUCAAACCCCUACGCGUAAUGAAAGUGAACGGAGGUGAGAACCGCAAGGUGCAUCAUCGACCGAUCCUGAUGUCUUCGGAUGGAUUUGAGUAAGAGCAUAGCUGUUGGGACCCGAAAGAUGGUGAACUAUGCCUGAAUAGGGUGAAGCCAGAGGAAACUCUGGUGGAGGCUCGCAGCGGUUCUGACGUGCAAAUCGAUCGUCAAAUUUGGGUAUAGGGGCGAAAGACUAAUCGA